CCCUUAGAUGUUCUGGGCUGCACGCGCGCUACACUGACGUACGCAACGAGUGUCCUUUACCGAGAGGUAUGGGUAAUCAUUUGAGUGUACGUCGUGAUGGGGAUAGAAUAUUGUAAUUAUUACUCUUCAACGAGGAAUUCCUAGUAAGCGCAAGUCAGCAGCUUGCGCUGAUUACGUCCCUGCCCUUUGUACACACCGCCCGUCGCUCCUACCGAUGGGUGAUCCGGUGAAUGAUUCGGACUCGGUUGCCUCUAGCCACUAGUGGCGCUCGAGAAAGUUUUGUGAACCUAUCACUUGGAGGAAGGAGAAGUCGUAACA
rnacentral:rRNA from 1 species